UACUUUCCACGGCCUGAUGAACUCUUCAUGAAAAGAGGUCCAGCUGGUACCUUCCCUAUUUUGUUUUAGGUGUCAGUCCAUUUACCUUAGCUUUAUGGAGUUUUGUUCAAGCUCAGUUUGUUCCUUCCGGUUUUUUUAUUUGGAGCCAGUUUGAUUUGGUAGAUGGUCUGCUGGAGCUGUUUCAGUUUUUUCUGCAGCUUAGUUGGCCCAUUGGCUAUAGAAUUGGUUUGGGCUGGUUGUUUUCCUAUUUUUAUGCUCCCCUCAUAGGAACAUAGGAAAUUGCCUUGGACUCAGACCAUUCAUCCAUCUAAGCCAUGGGUAGGCAAACUAAGGCCCGGGGGCCGGAUCCGGCCCAAUCGCCUUCUCAGUCCGGCCUGUGGACGGUCCAGGAAUCAGUGUGUUUUUACAUGAGUAGAAUGUGUCCUUUUAUUUAAAAUGCAUCUCUGGGUUAUUUGUGGGGCAUAGGAAUUCGUUCAUUCCCCCCCAAAAAAUAUAGUCCGGCCCCCACAAGGUCUGAGGAACAGUGGACCGGCCCCGUGCUGAAAAAGUUUGCUGACCCUAAUUCUAAGCUCAGCAUUGUCCGCACUGACCAGCAGCAAACUAGGAUUUCAGGUAGGAGACAUUCCCAUCUCUAACUGGAGAUGCCAGGGACUGAACCUGGGAACUUCUCCAGGCAAUGCAAAGUGUUCUUUCACUGAACUACAGCCAUUCUCUGUAUGCUGUUGACACUUUAUUGUGUUUUAUCUGUUAAUGGAGCCCACCCCCGCUCCCAACUGGCCUUUUUGCAGUAAGUAAAUGUGCUGCAAAGUGUGGGAUAACAAUCACCUGACAUGAUGUCAUACAAUCACUGCAAAACAAAAGUGCAGAAUGAAUGGAUAAACGUAUAAACUUCAUGCAAACUUUGUAAAAACAAAUCGGGAUGAAUGAUCCAUAAACAAGUUGUCUGGAAGAGCUUUAGGUGACCCCCUCUCUCUUAGCCUCAGCCCCCCCACUUGCAAAAUUGGGAGGGGGGAUAAUAAUACUGGCUAACUUGGCUUCUUUACAACAGCAACAGCAGCAACAACAACAACAACAUGGAGGUUGUAACGAGCACUGUAUAAAUAUAAAGUAUGUGUUAAUGAUGAUGAAAAUAAUGCGAUUAUCCACCUUGAAUGACAUCCGGAUAGUGAAAAUAAAUAAGAAAGAGAAAGACAAACUCAUGAAUACUUCAAACAUGGCACCAAAGGGUGGAAUGGGCUUGAAGACUGCACUUCAUUUUGAAGAAGUAUUUUAACCAGUUUUGUACUUUGAUGUCAUUGUACUAUGAUGUCAAGCAGAAACAGUAGUGCACUUUCAUCUACCUAGCCUAAUACUCCUAAGCUUUGUAAAGCACUUUCCUUCCUCAGACCAAAGGUUUUUUGUUGUUGUCGUUUAGUCGUGUCUGACUCUUCGUGACCCCAUGGACCAGAGCACGCCAGGCACUCCCGUCUUCCUCUGCCUCCCGCAGUUUGGUCAGACUCAUGUUUGUAGCUUCGAGAACACUGUCCAACCAUCUCGUCCUCUGUCGUCCCCUUCUCCUUGUGCCCUCCAUCUUUCCCAACAUCAGGGUCUUUUCCAGGGAGUCUUCUCUUCUCAUGAGGUGGCCAAAGUAUUGGAGCCUCAGCUUCACGAUCUUUUAGACACGGCAAAAAAUGUAUCUGUAAAGGCUAUAUUCUUCUGCUAUAAUGCCGAAACGUUCUUAAGUUCUGAAGAGAUGCUCCAUGUUUCCACAUCCUUCUCUUGAAUUUUUCCCUAUGUAGAAGAAUUUUGUUGCCGGUUUGAACAUAUAAUGAUGGCAAUCAAAGCAAACAAGGCAAACAAUUUCCACAGCCAAAUUUCUAGACAGAGACACAGUGACAAUAAGUAAGGUACACAACGUGCUGCUGGGGGGGGGGGGAGCAAAUCUGUCUGCCAGGACAUAUAUAUCCCCUUAGCAAAUUGUGAUAAAACACUGAAAAAUAGCACCUGCAAGUCCAGUAAAAUUUUAUGUAGGGUGCUUCCACACUGGUUUAUUGUGGAUUUGGGGCUGCUCAUGAAUUUUUUUCAGUGUUUCCAAAUAGCAUCUUCCUCACCAAAGCAUCUAUACCCUCCUCCCCCCAUUUAAUCCAAAAUUACUAUUAGAUUUUCUGCAGUCCUGAUUAAAUGGGGAAAUGAUAUGGAGCAACAUUUUGAGGUCAUUGCACAUAAUAUGAACAACGCCCCUGUGUGUUGAAGCGCCGUUAGCUUAUUAACAUUUCAUUUUAUUAUUUUCAGAAUAAUUUUAGGAAGUGGGAUCAAAUGGGUUAGGGAGAGAUUCACAUGAUAGUGAGCAGGAACUUGAAAUUCAACAUAUCCAUUGUUUUAUCCUGGAAGAAAAUUCCUUAAGAAAGCAAAUAGAUUGGGGGGAGAGGGGGAUCCAUCACUUAUAGUAACUGGCAAUCUAGUAACCCAAAUAGGUUCAAAUGCUGUAGCUCUUUCCCCCACUUUUUUAAAAAGAAAAGUUAAGAAUGUGUUUAUUUUAAACGAUACUUCUUUCAUGGCAAUUUCUAAUAAUUGAUGCAAUCAAUGCAAUAAAACCAACAACACUUUAUUUGGCUAUUUACAACAGUGGGUCCAAAUGCAGUACUUGCAUGGCUUCAGACCAGCAACAUUUGGCAGCAGGCGUUUUUGGAGGCCCAGUACUUUUCUUUGAACUUUAGGCCAGCUUUUAGCCCUGGCCUGCCUGUAUUUAUCUGCGCUGACAGUGAAUGGGAAUUGGAAAACGGAAAGGAGAGAAUGGCUGCUACUUUUUAAAAAGCUAAUUUAAAAGCAGGCGCAGUCUUCUGUAAAGAUGAUUCUGAUUGUCCCCAGCUCUUUUGAAGGGACAAGGUUAAAUCCAUUUGUAUUCAGAAUGUGGGAUUAGACACUCACACAAAAUGAACAACAUCUUCCUUAUUUAUUCCAUAUUUAAAUGGCCCCUGGAAGUAUCAGCCAGUCGAUUCGCAGUUGUUUGGGAAUGCCAAGGGAUCUUCUCCACUCCCACUCCCCCUCUUCCAAAAUACACCAGCAAAAUUCCUAAAACCCCACUAACUCUUUUCUGCCCAGUCCCCCAGCACAAGGAGGGGGAUUGUAUGUCAUCCCUAAAGUUACAUGUAAAGUAAGUGCAGCUUUACUCCAAAGUGGCUUGGUGGAGUGGAAUGCAAUCCAAUAUGGUGCAUUGCCCUAAUACCAGAUGUCCUUGCAUGACCUCAUUCUGUUUGUUAGAAAAGAUGGAUUGUAUGCAUAUGAGCAAAUAACUACCGUUUUUUCCAAGCCUCUCGAUUUUACAGGGAAUCUUCCUGUAAAAGCACCGCUGUGGCCUGGCAGUAUCUUGGGGGAGAAGGGUUAGAGCAUUUUAGAAUUUUCAUUUAUGUCCUGCUUCUGCUCCAGUGAGCACAAGGGCUCUCCCCAUCCCCACUUCAUAUUCACAACAACCCUGAGAGGUAGGCCUGGCUGAGAGAUAGCAACUGGCUCAAGGUCACCCAAAGAGGUGUAUGCUGAGCAGGGGAUUUGAACCCUGGGUAUCCCCGCUCCUGGUUCAACGCUCCCAACUUCAUCUUCAGAAAGUUCGCCCGCAUGCAUUAAGAGGCUGAUUGCUACUCUGGGUUAUCAGUUUGAUCCUGCAAAGUACAAUGGUACCUCGGGUUAAGUACUUAAUUUGUUCCGGAGGUCCGUUCUUAACCUGAAACUGUUCUUAACCUGAAGCACCACUUUAGCUAAUGGGGCCUCCUGCUGCCGCCACGCCGCCGGAGCACGAUUUCUGUUAUCAUCCUGAAGCAAAGUUCUUAACCUGAAGCACUAUUUCUGGGUUAGUGGCGUGUGUAACCUAAAGCGUAUGUAACCUGAAGCAUAUGUAACCCGAGAUACCACUGUAUAUCCUCCCUCCACCCUUAAGAAGCACAUUUUAGCCAUUAUCAUGCCUCCAGUGAGCUGUCACAUCUAAUUAUCCUGUCCUUCUGGAUGGAGCAUGGAGUAUGAAGAACGUUUCAUCUUUGUUUCACAUAAGGUAAGGGAGGUAAGAACUGAUUCUUUGGAAAGUUGAAAACCGGGGAGAGAGUCGCCAUCCUUAUAAAAAUUAAUAAUUAAGAGAAAAAGUCAAAAUUCCAUGGAAUGGCAGGUGCACGGCUGUGGAGGAAGAGGGCAUUUCAUGUCACAAAAUUACGUCUAUUAACUGCUUUUCUGCUUCUUGUGCCCAGGGCAGGGUUCAAUAGAAGCUCAACUAUUCAACACCACAAUACAGUGGUACCUUUGUUUGCAAACUUAAUCUGUUCCAGAAGUCCGUUCUUAAACCGAAACCAUUCUUAAACCGAGGCGCACCUUCCCUAAUGAGGCCUCCCACCGCCAGUGCCCUUCCACCGUUCAGAUUCCGUUCGUAGACUGAGGUAAAGUUCUCAAACCAAGACACUAUUUCCAGUUUUGCCAAGUUUGUAAACCAAAUCGGUCUUAAACCAAACUGUUCUUAAACCGAGGUGUUGUUGUUUAGUCAUUUAGUCAUGGCCGACUCUUCGUGACCCCAUGGACCAGAGCACGCCAGGCACUUCUGUCUUCCACUGCCUCCCGCAGUUUGGUCAAACUAAACCGAGGUACCACUGUAUAUUAAAAACAAACAAACAAACUAAAAUAAAAUAAAUACAGCAACAAAACUGAAUUUUAAAGGUCUUUGUAAACAGAUUUAAAGUACAGAGUGGGGGCCCAGUAUAGCUUUUUAAGGAGCUGUGGUGUCACAAGACAAUGGGACAAGCUCUGAUCAGGGCCAGGGAUGCCAUGUAACUCAAGCAACUGCAGCCAUGUAACACCUAGGAUUGCAACAGCAGCAUUAGCUGGGGGGAAACAGCAUCAAACUCAGCAACAAAGGAUUACAUUUGAGUGCUAAGAAAAUGUGAUUUCCCCACAAUGUUCACUUUGGUGAUAGCCAUCUGGAAAAGUAUUUUGGGUUCCCUAUAGUAACCUCUGCAUAAAAUUGAGAAUGGGAAACCUGUAGUACUCCAGAUGAUAUUGGACUGCAGUUCUCAUCAUCCCUGACCACUGGCCACACCGGAUGGGACUUGGGAGUCCAACCAGAGGAUCACAGAUUCCCCAUCCCUGGUGCAAACCCAUCUCCAACCUCAAUGUGUACAACGUGUAAUUCCACUUGCUCAUACACAUUAGGAUAGAAUAUAUGAUUUGGGCUUGUAAAUGGCAGCCAUUAGGAAGCCUGAGCAGCUUUUGGACUGUGGAAGGUGGGGAAGUGAAGAGUGUUUGAGGACCAGGACAUUCACAGGGAAACCAAAAUGCUUGUUUAGAAAGCUAUUGAACUACCAACUUUACUGUACGCUUAUGAAACAUGGACCACUUAUAAACACCAUCUCCAACUCCUCAAAUGAUUCCACCAAUUGUUUCUCC